CUCGUAGGUGGCCAACUAAGUCAUACGUGAAAUCCCUCGGCUUAACCGGGGAACUGCGUCUGAUACUGGAUGGCUUGAGUUUGGGAGAGGGAUGCGGAAUUCCAGGUGUAGCGGUGAAAUGCGUAGAUAUCUGGAGGAACACCGGUGGCGAAGGCGGCAUCCUGGACCAACACUGACGCUGAGGAGCGAAAGCCAGGGAGCAAACG
rnacentral:rRNA from 1 species